UCCAUUUUAUUUGGUUUAGCCGUGGGUGGGAGCUUGGAGUUUGUUGUUAUGGGAUAGUUGGUUUGUGGAGGUGUGUGAUCAUGGUUUAUGAACUUUGUCUUUGAUUCGAAAAAAUCCUAGCAUCCUACAAGUCUACAAAAAAAAAAAAAAGAAGAGAAGAAAAGAAAAAAAAAUUGAAAAAUGGGUACAUAGGAUGCAUUAGAAGGUCAUAAUGUCAUGGGAGAUAAUUGUUGUGUUGUGGUGGAUUAUAUAUUGAAAAAAAUUGGGUAUGUGAAAGGUGGAUGAUAGAAUUGAGCAAGAAUGCUAUAAGGUUGGUGAUGAUGUUACUUUGAUUUGCAUCUUUGAGUCACUUAGCCAAAC
rnacentral:lncRNA from 1 species